rnacentral:rRNA from 1 species
GACGAACGCUGGCGGCGUGCUUAACACAUGCAAGUCGAACGACGUGGCGCACGGGUGAGUAACGCGUAAUCAACCUUCCCUUCAGAGGGGGACAACAGUUGGAAACGACUGCUAAUACCGCAUACUGAAGGUGGGGAUUGCGUCUGAUUAGCUAGUUGGGGGGGUAACGGCCCACCAAGGCGAAGAUCAGUAGCCGGGCUGAGAGGAUGAACGGCCACAUUGGGACUGGUGAAAGGCCCAGACUCCUACGGGAGGCAGCAGUGGGGGAUCUUCCGAAAAGGGCGAAAGUCUGGCGGAGCAACGCCGGGGGAGGGAUGACGGCCUUCGGGUUGUAAAGCUCUGUUAAGCGGGACGCGGUACCGGAAGAGGAAGCAACGGCUAACUACGUGCCAGCAGCCGCGGUAAUUC